rnacentral:rRNA from 1 species
UACGAAGGGGGCUAGCGUUGUUCGGAUUUACUGGGCGUAAAGCGCACGUAGGCGGAUCGUUAAGUCGGGGGUGAAAUCCUGGAGCUCAACUCCAGAACUGCCUUCGAUACUGGCGAUCUUGAGUCCGGAAGAGGUGAGUGGAAUUCCUAGUGUAGAGGUGGAAUUCGUAGAUAUUAGGAAGAACACCGGUGGCGAAGGCGGCUCACUGGUCCGGUACUGACGCUGAGGUGCGAAAGCGUGGGGAGCAAACAGG